rnacentral:tRNA from 1 species
GUCUGGCUGGCUCAGUAGGUAGAGCAUGUGACUCUUAAUCUCAGGGUCAUGAGUUCGAGCCCCACAAUAGGCA